UACAGAGGGUGCAAGCGUUAAUCGGAAUUACUGGGCGUAAAGCGUGCGUAGACGGUUGCGUAAGUCAGAUGUGAAAGCCCCGGGCUCAACCUGGGAAUUGCAUUUGAGACUGCGUAGCUAGGGCGCGGAAGAGGGAAGCGGAAUUUCCGGUGUAGCGGUGAAAUGCGUAGAUAUCGGAAGGAACACCAGUGGCGAAAGCGGCUUCCUGGUCCAGCACCGACGUUCAGGCACGAAAGCGUGGGGAGCAAACAGG
rnacentral:rRNA from 1 species